AAAUUUGGGCAAUGGGCGAAAGCCUGACCCAGCGACGCCGCGUGAGGGAUGACGUCCUUCGGGAUGUAAACCUUUGUUGAGGGGGACGAUAAUGACGGUACCCCUCGAGGAAGCCUCGGCUAACUCCGUGCCAGCAGCCGCGGUAAAACGGAGGAGGCAAGCGUUGUCCGGAAUCACUGGGCGUAAAGGGUGUGUAGGUGUCCUGAUGGGUCAGAUGUGAAAUCCAACCGCUCAACGGUUGAACUGCAUUUGAAACUAUCAGGAUAGAGGACACUAGGGGAGAGUGGAACUCGCGGUGUAGCGGUAGAAUGCGUGGAUAUCGCGAGGAAUGCCGAUGGCGAAGGCGGCUCUCUAGGAUGUUC
rnacentral:rRNA from 1 species